rnacentral:tRNA from 1 species
GGGCCAGUGGCGCAGUUGGUAGCGCAGGUGACUCUUAAUCACUUGGUCGCGGGUUCGAAUCCCUCCUGGCCCA